GCCUGGGUGGCUCAGUCGGUUAAGCGUCUGACUUCAGCUCAGGACAUGAUCUCAUCGUUUGUGAGUUCAAGCCCCACGUUGGGCU
rnacentral:tRNA from 1 species